rnacentral:lncRNA from 1 species
UACUUUUUCUUCUCGUCGUCUACUUCAUGGCAGGCUUGAGAUUGAGUGCUGCUCCCUUUUUCCUAACCAUGCUCACGGUUUUUCUCUGCAUUGUUGCUGCUCAGGUAAGCCUUCUCUGCAAUACUAAAGAAGAAGGGUGCCAAAAGCAUAAGAAAUUUAUGUAUUUAACCAAGCAUUUCUGCAUGGCAGGGACUCGGACUAGCUAUUGGGGCUACCCUGAUGGACUUAAAGAGGGCCACAACUCUGGCUUCAGUUACUGUGAUGACCUUCAUGCUGGCUGGAGGGUAUUUUGUGAAGGUGAAGUUCAUCAAAGAUCAUUACGCACAUUACUCUAUAUUGUUCCUCUCUAAUGAAAUAUUUGAGUGAUUUUUUCAUAGAUAUUGAAUUUUGGAUUCGCACCACAUGACUCAUUUUGCUGACAUUGCCUGACCGAUAGAAAAAGAUACUCGAUAACCUCUACUAUCAAUAUUAAAGUUUCAAAACAAGCAAUCAGGACUGAAAUUCAUUACUUCACUAAAUAAUAACUCUCUCUCCUAGAAUUAGUUUUGAUUCAAUAUUUUCUUACCUUGACACAAAUGAUCACACAUGGUCUUCACUUUUGCAGAAAGUUCCAGUAUUUGUAUCUUGGAUCCGCUAUAUGUCUUUCAACU